rnacentral:sRNA from 1 species
CCGUCCGCCCCCUGGGACGCCCGUACCGCCCCUUGUGCCGCCCGCUACCCUGGCCGGGUGCGCCAUCCACCGGAAGGCGCAAAGCCGACAGCCGUCGCAACCCUGGGAGCAGUUCCAUG